CGCAGGCUGGCUUCGUCACUGUCCGAUGUCCGCUGGCUCCGAGCCUCCAAGUGAGGUCACCAGGGUACUGCCAUUCCUCAACUGUCAGCCCUGGACCAAGGGCUCCCUCUGCAAAGCCGGCUCAGCUGCCCACAGACCGGGGCCCCUGCUUCUCUGCGAUUCUUGGUGCUUUCCUGGGUUUGGCACAACGCCCACCAGGGCCCUCCGCACACUUCGUUACGGUUACCGUUUGCAGCCUGUCUCCUGGCUGACCAGCGAGCUUCCACCUGUGUCCUCCCCUCCCAGAGCCUCGUGGCAGGCGCUUGCUGCCAUUCGUUCAAUGACCAAAGGAAGAAGCAGAGACAAAGCUGUAAGGGACAGAGACAAAGCGCCUCCUGGGUCUCACCCGUCACCAGCUGAGUAAGUACUUCGGCCCCUGUUGCCCUUGGUCACCUGUGAGGACAGAGCCUUCGCGGCACUGAAGGAAGAGACAACACCUCCCCAUUCUCUUUCUGGACCGUAUGGUUCUUCUCAAGGUCAUGUCUCGGUUUUUGUCAAAGACACAAGAGGUGUCUACGUUUUGAUCCAGGUGGACUGUGGGUUUCGCAGAGCCAGGGCUAAGCCCUGUUCCGUCACGAAUCCCCCAGCUGUUGGGCACAAGGGAGCCGGUCCGCCCUGCCUGGACCAGUUUGCUCACCUGCACGUGUGGAACUGAGAGUCACGCCCAGGCUUUGGGGGGGUGCUGGGAGCAUCACCGCCCACGGGACUCACGAGUCCUGGCUCAGACCGGGUCCUCGGGGUCCAUGGGUGAAGGCCCAUGAGGGCGGAGGCUUGAGGGGAAGCCAGAGCAUGGAGCAGGACCUGGGGACCCCGGAGAGAAGAGCGCGUGGCCGGAGCUGAGGACCCCCGUGGGGACGGGAGUGAGGUACAGCUAAUCCCGCACUUAUGCAACUGUUCCAUUCCGAAAGGCCUUUCUCAACUUGAACUUUGCACCAGAAGCCUGCUUGGGACUUAAAGGUACAGAACCCGUUGCACACACACUCCUUCCUCUCUGCUCCCCAGCUCCAGCCGGCUUCCCCUCGCCCUGGAGCCCCACAGAGCUCGUGCAGGGGAGGAAGGAGGGGCUGCAUCGGUGCUUCAGGCUGCCCCCGCCCCCUCCUGCCUGUGAGCGCCCUGCCCUUCCCAGCUGGGCCCUUCCCAGGGGUGCUGGCGUCGGCGCUGUGGACGGAGGAGGAAGACCCCGACAGACACGCCAGCCCCAUGGGGACUGCCCCCCUGGCAGCCUUGACCUCUGGACUUUGGGGAGCUCAUCCUGAGAGUGGGCUGUAUUGGGGACCGUGUCCUGACCCCUCCAGGCCUCGUGUCUCCCUGCUCCCGGCCCUGCAGGCCGAUGGUGUGGGCUGGACAGAGGCUCCGCAGCCGUCUGCGUCUGUCUUCACCACCUCUCCUGCAGGCGCUGUCUCCCCGGCAGGAGGGCUCAGGCUCGGCAGUGACUCCCUGUCUGCCCUCUCGGGCGCGGGGAGGCAGUGGCCCCCGGCCCCAGUCCCGUGGUCUUCCUGCGGCCUGUCGAUCCUUACUGAAAAGCUCCUCCGGUCACCUGUGGCAGUCCCUGCGGAUGGAUGCCUGCAAGGUCCUCCUCCUGUCACGGAGCUGGUCCCCCCCAUUGCUCUGCUCCCUCUUCCCAGAUGCCACCGACGGAAACUUUGAGCCCCCCAAACGCACAUGUGAGAACCUGUGUUGUGCUGGUGUUGGGAGGUGACUGGCCUUGUGUGGGAGGUAGUGGUGCUGGGACGGGGCGCGCGUCCUCCUAAGGAGAGGAUGGCCCUGGAGAGGGAGCACAGAGCCAGCCCUGCAGCUGCUGCCCUCGGGUCUCCUGCCUCCGGGGCUCUGAGGAUUGACCCUGGGCUGUCCCCGUGGGGGGUCCGUGAGGUCUGCACGGCCCGAGCGAGCCAAGCUGAGGCCUGGCCCCGGCCACCCGGGUCUGGCCCACUGGUCCUGAGAGCUCUUGGCACAUCCUGCCCUCGCUGGGACCCUGUCCAGGGCCCCCACACCCCUUGCCUGCCUUGCCCUUCAGGAGCUGCCCACAGGUUGGCCCCCUGGCAAACACCGCGUGCAACACCACAGCCAUGAGGCCAUCCUGUCCCCCGUCAUGCACAUCCCUCUGCCACACUCUUCUCAGAAGCAGGAGCGGGAUCCCUCCUGGAACCCAUCCUGCGUCACGUGCCUGUGGCCUGGCAGGGACCAGAGGGCGGACGCCUUCCCCCGCUGCUCCCAGAGGAAUCCACACAACCUGGGUGGGGUUUAACCCAAGGCAGACGCUCGGUCCUUGCUGGGGACACAGUGGGCUAGAUGUCUCUUGGGCACAGUGUCACGUCCUAGUGAUCGACCCCAAGGGUGUGUCGUGGGAAUCACUUUGUUGGUCGCUCGGCCCCACGUGUCCGAAGGGGACAGGGUCCCCGUCUCUCCAGUCCUGCUGGCGAGCCCUGGGAGAGGGAGACGGGCCCGUUCCCGGGACCACUGAGUGGUUGUGGAAGCGCCAGAAGGAAGGAGGCAGGCGGAGGGCUCCGUGGGCCCCCGAGGGCGGUCAUGCCGUGUGGCCACGCCCGGGACAGCCUUUCUCAGCUGGAGGAAGCAGCCGGAACUUUCACUUGGUCUGGUUUCCUCCAUCACCUCCCCAGCGGUGACCACCUCCUGCGUGCAUCGGAGUGGCCCGAGGUUCGCGUGCCUGGGCCCCCCAGGGCCUGGUGGAGGUCGUCCCCUUGGCCAUGCGGGUUCUCCCCGCCACGCUUCUCCAGGCCCGACCAGGCUUGCAUUUCUCUGCUUUACCUCAGGCUCCAAAUUAAACUCCUUGCGUCUUUGA